rnacentral:rRNA from 1 species
UUUGUUAAUUAUAGCCUGCAGUGUUAAUGCAUUGGAUGACAUUAAAACUCCGCAGUUAAGUGUACUUAAGUAGUAUUGAGAUGGGUGGCCUCCGGGGAAAUCUUAGUUUUAUACAUGC